rnacentral:rRNA from 1 species
ACCCGCUGAACUUAAGCAUAUCAAUAAGCGGAGGAAAAGAAACCAACAGGGAUUGCCCUAGUAACGGCGAGUGAAGCGGCAGCAGCUCAAAUUUGAAAUCUGGCGUCUUUGGCGUCCGAGUUGUAAUUUGCAGAGGGCGCUUUGGCAUUGGCAGCGGUCCAAGUUCCUUGGAACAGGACGUCACAGAGGGUGAGAAUCCCGUACGUGGUCGCUAGCCUUUACCGUGUAAAGCCCCUUCGACGAGUCGAGUUGUUUGGGAAUGCAGCUCUAAAUGGGAGGUAAAUUUCUUCUAAAGCUAAAUACUGGCCAGAGACCGAUAGCGCACAAGUAGAGUGAUCGAAAGAUGAAAAGCACUUUGGAAAGAGAGUUAAAAAGCACGUGAAAUUGUUGAAAGGGAAGCGCUUGCAGCCAGACUUGCCUGUAGUUGCUCAUCCGGGUUUUUACCCGGUGCACUCUUCUAUAGGCAGGCCAGCAUCAGUUUGGGCGGUUGGAUAAAGGUCUCUGUCACGUACCUCCUCUCGGGGAGAACUUAUAGGGGAGACGUAAUGCAACCAGCCUGGACUGAGGUCCGCGCAUCUGCUAGGAUGCUGGCGUAAUGGCUGUAAGCGGCCCGUCUUGAAACACGGACCAAGGAGUCUAACAUCUAUGCGAGUGUUUGGGUGUCAAGCCCGAGCGCGUAAUGAAAGUGAACGGAGGUGGGAACCUUUCGGGGUGCACCAUCGACCGAUCCUGAUGUCUUCGGAUGGAUUUGAGUAAGAGCAUAGCUGUUGGGACCCGAAAGAUGGUGAACUAUGCUUGAAUAGGGUGAAGCCAGAGGAAACUCUGGUGGAGGCUCGCAGCGGUUCUGACGUGCAAAUCGAUCGUCAAAUUUGGGCAUAGGGGCGAAAGACUAAUCGAACUAUCUAGUA